rfam:Felis catus isolate Cinnamon breed Abyssinian chromosome D4, whole genome shotgun sequence.
GCCUGGGUGGCUCAGUCAGUUAAGCAUCUGACUCCGGCUCAGGUCAUGAUCUCAUGGUUUGUGAGUUCAAGCCCCACAUCAGGCU